UGGGGAAUAUUGCACAAUGGGCGCAAGCCUGAUGCAGCCAUGCCGCGUGUAUGAAGAAGGCCUUCGGGUUGUAAAGUACUUUCAGCGGGGAGGAAGGGAGUAAAGUUAACACCUUUGCUCAUUGACGUUACCCGCAGAAGAAGCACCGGCUAACUCCGUGCCAGCAGCCGCGGUAAUACGGAGGGUGCAAGCGUUAAUCGGAAUUACUGGGCGUAAAGCGCACGCAGGCGGUUUGUUAAGUCAGAUGUGAAAUCCCCGGGCUCAACCUGGGAACUGCAUCUGAUACUGGCAAGCUUGAGUCUUGUAGAGGGGGGUAGAAUUCCAUGUGUAGCGGUGAAAUGCGUAGAGAUGUGGAGGAAUACCGGUGGCGAAGGCGGCCCCCUGGACAAAGACUGACGCUCAGGUGCGAAAGCGUGGGGAGCAAACAGG
rnacentral:rRNA from 1 species